CUAAGCCAUGCGAGUCGAGAGGGUUCGGCCCUCGGCGGACUGCUCAGUAACACGUGGAUAAUUUGCCCUUAGGUGGAGGAUAAUCUCGGGAAACUGAGAAUAAUACUCCAUAGAUCUAGGAUGCUGGAAUGCACUUAGAUUGAAAGUUCCGGCGCCUAAGGAUAAGUCUGCGGACUAUCAGGUUGUAGUCAGGGUAAAGACCUGACUAGCCUACAACGGAUACGGGUUGUGAGAGCAAUAACCCGGAGACGAUAUCUGAGACACGAUAUCGGGCCCUACGGGGCGCAGCAGGCGCGAAACCUUCACACUGCGCGAAAGCGCGAUAAGGGGAUCCCAAGUGCCAGCUCGUAAGAGUUGGCUGUUUCUCUGUCUAAAAAGCAGAGAGAGUAAGGGCUGGGUUAGACGGGUGCCAGCCGGCGCGGGUAA
rnacentral:rRNA from 1 species